UGCAGUCGACGAUGAAGCCCUUCGGGGUGGAUUAGUGGCGAACGGGUGAGUAACACGUGGGCAAUCUGCCCUGCACUCUGGGACAAGCCCUGGAAACGGGGUCUAAUACCGGAUACUGAUCGCCUUGGGCAUCCUUGGUGAUCGAAAGCUCCGGCGGUGCAGGAUGAGCCCGCGGCCUAUCAGCUUGUUGGUGAGGUAAUGGCUCACCAAGGCGACGACGGGUAGCCGGCCUGAGAGGGCGACCGGCCACACUGGGACUGAGACACGGCCCAGACUCCUACGGGAGGCAGCAGUGGGGAAUAUUGCACAAUGGGCGAAAGCCUGAUGCAGCGACGCCGCGUGAGGGAUGACGGCCUUCGGGUUGUAAACCUCUUUCAGCAGGGAAGAAGCGAAAGUGACGGUACCUGCAGAAGAAGCGCCGGCUAACUACGUGCCAGCAGCCGCGGUAAUACGUAGGGCGCGAGCGUUGUCCGGAAUUAUUGGGCGUAAAGAGCUCGUAGGCGGCUUGUCGCGUCGGUUGUGAAAGCCCGGGGCUUAACCCCGGGUCUGCAGUCGAUACGGGCAGGCUAGAGUUCGGUAGGGGAGAUCGGAAUUCCUGGUGUAGCGGUGAAAUGCGCAGAUAUCAGGAGGAACACCGGUGGCGAAGGCGGAUCUCUGGGCCGAUACUGACGCUGAGGAGCGAAAGCGUGGGGAGCGAACAGGAUUAGAUACCCUGGUAGUCCACGCCGUAAACGGUGGGCACUAGGUGUGGGCGACAUUCCACGUCGUCCGUGCCGCA
rnacentral:rRNA from 1 species